rnacentral:rRNA from 1 species
UACGUAGGGGGCAAGCGUUGUCCGGAAUCAUUGGGCGUAAAGCGCGUGUAGGCGGUCCGGUAAGUCCGCUGUAAAAGUCGGGGGCUCAACCCUCGGAUGCCGGUGGAUACUGUCGGGCUUGAGUACGGAAGAGGCGAGUGGAAUUCCUGGUGUAGCGGUGGAAUGCGCAGAUAUCAGGAGGAACACCAAUAGCGAAGGCAGCUCGCUGGGACGUUACUGACACUGAGGCGCGAAAGCGUGGGGAGCGAACAGG